rnacentral:sRNA from 1 species
CUAUGCCAAUCAGAAUGGCUCAAAUACCAAGGGAAGUGUUAUUGGUUCUCUAAUGAGAUGAAAAGUUGGAGUGACAGUUAUGUGUACUGUUUGGAAAGAAAAUCUCAUCUACUAAUCAUACAUGACCAACUUGAAAUGUCCCUCAUUGUCCACAUUUUAGGCUUUUAUAGAAAAAAAUGUAAGACAAUCAAACUACGUGUGGAUUGGGCUUAACUUUACCUCCUUGAAAAUGACAUGGACUUGGGUGGAUGGUUCUCCAGUAGAUUCAAAGAUAUUCUUCAUAAAGGGACCAGCUAAAGAAAACAGCUGUGCUGCCAUUAAGGAAAGCAAAAUUUACUCUGAAACCUGCAGCAGUGUUUUCAAAUGGAUUUGUCAGUAUUAGAGUUUGACAAAAUUCACAGUGAAAUAAUUAAUGAUCACUAUUUUUGGCCUAUUAGUUUCUAAUAUUAAUCUCCAGGUGUAAGAUUUUAAAGUGCAAUUAAAUGCCAAAAUCUCUUCUCUCUUCUCCCUCCAUCAUCGACACUGGUCUAGCCUCAGAGUAAUCCCUGUUAACAAACUAAAAUGUACCCUUCAAAAUUUUUACAUGAUAGUAUAAACCAAUGUGACUUCAUGUGAUCAUAUCCAGGAUUUUUAUUCAUUGCUUAUUUUAUGCCAAAUGUGAUCAAAUUAUCCCUGUUUUUCUGUACCUUGCCUUUUAAAUUCUUAAUAAUGUCCUAAACAAAAUUUCUUAUAUUUCUAAUGGUUGAAUUAUAAUGUGGGUUUAUACAUUUUUUACCCUUUUGUCAAAGAGAAUUAACUUUGUUUCCAGGCUUUUGCUACUCUUCACUCGGCUACAAUAAACACCCUGA